GAUGAACGCUGGCGGCGUGCCUAAUACAUGCAAGUCGAGCGAACAGACGAGGAGCUUGCUCCUCUGACGUUAGCGGCGGACGGGUGAGUAACACGUGGAUAACCUACCUAUAAGACUGGGAUAACUUCGGGAAACCGGAGCUAAUACCGGAUAAUUUAUUGAACCGCAUGGUUCAAUAGUGAAAGACGGUUUUGCUGUCACUUAUAGAUGGAUCCGCGCCGCAUUAGCUAGUUGGUAAGGUAACGGCUUACCAAGGCAACGAUGCGAAGCCGACCUGAGAGGGUGAUCGGCCACACUGGAACUGAGACACGGUCCAGACUCCUACGGGAGGCAGCAGUAGGGAAUCUUCCGCAAUGGGCGAAAGCCUGACGGAGCAACGCCGCGUGAGUGAUGAAGGUCUUCGGAUCGUAAAACUCUGUUAUUAGGGAAGAACAAAUGUGUAAGUAACUAUGCACGUCUUGACGGUACCUAAUCAGAAAGCCACGGCUAACUACGUG
rnacentral:rRNA from 1 species